GGAGAAUUUAGAAUGUCCAGUUUAUCAAUAGAUAGGUGUUGGAGUGGGACCCUAUCCAGAAAUGAGCACAACUUAUCCGAUGUGGAUUGUAUUAUAUGGGGAUCAAACAUGUUACAGAUUUUGAUGGGAAUCGGGGAUUCUGUUCAAGUGUGUGCAACAUAGUAAUGUUUGUUUUGCUUAACAGUGGACACAUGGUCCCUGCUUUCAGU